rnacentral:lncRNA from 1 species
ACAUCAUCCUGGCCAUUGACUGUAGUUCACCCAUUGUGACAUCAUCCUGGCCAUUGACUGUAGUUCCCCCAUUGUGACAUCAACGAUAUGGCCUUGAGUAUGUGUAGAGAAUGGAGUGUUUUCUAUGGGGCGUUUUGCUCCUAUGCAUGCACGAGCACACACACGUACAAACACAGAGAGAGAGAGAGAGAGAGAGAGAGAGACCUAAAGAGAGAGGGAGAGAUACUAAGAGAAAGAGAGCGAGGGAAAGAGAAAAAGAGACAGAGACCGAGAGAGGGAUAUGGUAUUUGAAAGAGUCUUUGUCUACAGUAUGCUCUCAUCUCUGUGUUGGCAGGAGAGAACAUUUACUAGUCUGUCUGAUGUUCACACACACAGCAGCAACAGCAGCAGACAGACUGGGAGAGGAAAGUAGAGAGAGGAUUUAACCAACUCAUCAUAAUCUCCUUCAGAUGACCUGGCCUCCACAAUCCACCGGCCUCAACCAAAUUGAGAUGGUUUGGGAUGAGACGGACCGCGGAAUCAAGGAAAAGCAGCCAACAAGUGCUCAGCAUAUGUGGGAACUCCUUCAAGACUGUUCUAAAAGCAUUCCAGUGAAGGAAGUUUCUAUGUGAAGAUACCCCUUAAAUAUGGUUUGUACUGUACUGAAUAAUCUGAGAUACCCCUUUAAAUAUGGUUUGU